rnacentral:rRNA from 1 species
UACGAAGGGGGCUAGCGUUGUUCGGAUUUACUGGGCGUAAAGCGCACGUAGGCGGACUAUUAAGUCAGGGGUGAAAUCCCGGGGCUCAACCCCGGAACUGCCUUUGAUACUGGUAGUCUUGAGUUCGAGAGAGGUGAGUGGAAUUCCGAGUGUAGAGGUGAAAUUCGUAGAUAUUCGGAGGAACACCAGUGGCGAAGGCGGCGAUCUGGGAAGAUACUGACGCUGAGGUGCGAAAGCGUGGGGAGCAAACAGGG